rnacentral:rRNA from 1 species
AUUGAACGCUGGCGGCAGGCCUAACACAUGCAAGUCGAGCGAGCGGCGGACGGGUGAGUAAUAUCUGGGAAACUGCCUGAUGGAGGGGGAUAACUACUGGAAACGGUAGCUAAUACCGCAUACCCUCAGAUGUGCCCCGAUGGGAGUAGCUAGUAGGUGGGGUAACGGCUCACCUAGGCGACGAUCCCUAGCUGGUCUGAGAGGAUGACCAGCCACACGGGAACUGAGACACGGCCCAGACUCUUACGGGAGGCAGAAGGGGGGAAUAUUGCACAAUGGGCGCAAGCCUGAUGCAGACAUGCCGCGUGUGUGAAGAAGGCCUUCGGGUUGUAAAGCACGUUCAGCGGGGAGGCGUUACCCGCAGAAGAAGCACCGGCUAACUCCGUGCCAGCAGCCGCGGUAAUAC